rnacentral:rRNA from 1 species
AGCUAGAUGGUGGGGUAACGGCCUACCAUGGCCAUGAUGUCUAGGGGUUCUGAGAGGAAGACCCCCCACACUGGGACUGAGACACGGCCCAGACUCCUACGGGAGGCAGCAGUGAGGAAUAUUGGACAAUGGAUGGAAAUCUGAUCCAGCCAUGCCGCGUGCAGGAAGACGGCCCUAUGGGUUGUAAACUGCUUUUAUAUGGGAGCAAUAAGGUCUACGCGUAGACCGAUGAGAGUACCAUAUGAAUAAGCAUCGGCUAACUCCGUGCCAGCAGCCGCGGUAAUACGGAGGAUGCGAGCGUUAUCCGGAUUUAUUGGGUUUAAAGGGUGCGUAGGCGGCCUUAUAAGUCAGCGGUGAAAUUUUGCAGCUUAACUGUAACAGUGCCGUUGAUACUGUAGGGCUAGGAUUUGGUUGCUGUGGGUGGAAUGUGUGGUGUAGCGGUGAAAUGCUUAGAUAUCACACAGAAUAUCGAUUGCGAAGGCAGCUCACAAAGCCAAGAUUGACGCUGAGGCACGAAAGUGUGGGGAUCAAACAGGAUUAGAUACCCUGGUAGUCCACACUGUAAACGAUGAUAACUCGCUGCCGGCGAUACACAGUCGGUGGCCAAGCGAAAGCGAUAAG